AUUGAACGCUGGCGGCAUGCUUUACACAUGCAAGUCGAACGGGGUGGGGGGCAACCUUCAUUCAGUGGCGAACGGGUGAGUAAUGCAUCGGAACGUAUCCCGUAGUGGGGGACAACGCCGCGAAAGCGGCGCUAAUACCGCAUAUGCUCUACGGAGGAAAGUGGGGGACCUGAAAGGGCCUCACGCUAUGGGAGCGGCCGAUGUCCGAUUAGCUAGUUGGUGGGGUAAUGGCCCACCAAGGCGACGAUCGGUAGCUGGUCUGAGAGGAUGAUCAGCCACACUGGGACUGAGACACGGCCCAGACUCCUACGGGAGGCAGCAGUGGGGAAUUUUGGACAAUGGGGGCAACCCUGAUCCAGCCAUGCCGCGUGCGGGAAGAAGGCCUUCGGGUUGUAAACCGCUUUUAGCCGGGAAGAAAAGGCGUCGCCUAAUACGCGGCGUUCUUGACGGUACCGGCGGAAUAAGCACCGGCUAACUACGUGCCAGCCGCCGCGGUAAAAC
rnacentral:rRNA from 1 species